AACCCGACGCGGGGAUCGAACUCGGGAACUGUGAGGUCAUGACCGGGGCCGAAGUUGGACGCCUAACCAACCGAGCCACCCAGGCGCCCCAAAACUUUACAUGUUUUAAAGAUUUGUUUUGUCCCCUCCAUGGAUUUACCACCGAUUGAAAUCAUGUGCUGUGUCCCUGAGAGCUUGCCUGGUGGCCCGUGGAUGAUGGAUGGGUGACUGCUGCUCUUCGGGAGGGGGGAGGGGAGCAGGGGAAGCCUGUUCUUAGAGCAUCAAGUCACGACUUUGACUACUAGAGACUUGCUGUUUCCCUAGGGCAGCUGUCCCCGAUGUAGAGGCAAGACAGAUUCCAUCUCACGACAACGAAGUUCUUUCUAAAGACAACAGGAAGCCCCAUUUCUCAGGUCUCUUCCAAAGUGACUCCAAUAUACCUGCUGACCUCUUUUCUAAAAUUAGUUUCACGGAAGGCGUGAUUGAUUUCAAGCACUUUAUAGAUUUAAUUUAACGUUCAUUCCCUCUUGUCUUAUUGCCCAGCUUGGGUAGAGAUGAUCAUCCGGAUGAUUAGAGAAAGAAAGCAAGGCCCUGACGGCUACUUUGGGGGCCGAAUGCAGAACUCUCUUCUCCCUGAGUUGGAAGCUGGGCCCCACAGAGACGUGCCAUUCUUGAACGAAACGUUUAUUUGAUUCAACCCGAAGUCAACAACAUCAGUGAAGCAUAAUCUCAGGACUGUGGGUCUUUUCUCUGAUUGUACUUGAGAAAGUUGCACUGCCCAACGGGUAGUUCUGAUCCUACGAUCCGUAUCCUGGUGAAUCGGUAAAAUAAAGGCCUGCUGCCUCCCACCAGGGGGAAUCCAAACCCUCCUGAGGUGGUAGGUGUGCCGCAAACUCUAA